rnacentral:rRNA from 1 species
CCUACGGGUGGCUGCAGUCGAGGAUCUUCGGCAAUGGGGGAAACCCUGACCGAGCGACGCCGCGUGUGGGAUGAAGGCCCUCGGGUUGUAAACCACUGUCAGAGGGGAUGAAAUGCUAUGGGGUUCUCUCCAUAGUUUGACAUAUCCUCAGAGGAAGGACGGGCUAAGUUCGUGCCAGCAGCCGCGGUAAUACGAACCGUCCAAACGUUAUGCGGUAUCACUGGGCUAAAAGGCGCUGUAGGUUGGGUGGGAAAGCCCUCGGCUUAACCGAGGAAUAGCGCUCAAUACUGCUGUGCUUGAGGGAGAUAGAGGUGAGCGGAACUUAGGGUGGAGCGGUGAAAUGCGUUGAUAUCCUAAGGAACACCUGGGGCGAAAGCGGCUCACUGGAUCUUUUCUGACGCUGAUGCACGAAAGCUAGGGUAGCGAACGGGAUUAGAUACCCCGGUAGUC